UUGACAGAGAAGAUGUCAUUUUCAGAAAAAGCUGGUGAUAGUGAUGUCAUUCUACGAGCCUAAAGGACACUGAAAUCAUCAAGGUCCCUGAAAAUGGUGACAAUA
ensembl:snoRNA